GACGAACGCUGGCGGCGUGCUUAACACAUGCAAGUCGAACGAUGAAGCCGGAGCUUGCUCUGGUGAAUUAGUGGCGAACGGGUGAGUAACACGUGAGUAACCUGCCCUUGACUCUGGGAUAACUGCGGGAAACCGUAGCUAAUACCGGAUACGACCCUCGGAGGCAUCUCCGGGGGGUGUAAAGAAUUUCGGUCAAGGAUGGACUCGCGGCCUAUCAGCUAGUUGGUGAGGUAAAGGCUCACCAAGGCGACGACGGGUAGCCGGCCUGAGAGGGUGACCGGCCACACUGGGACUGAGACACGGCCCAGACUCCUACGGGAGGCAGCAGUGGGGAAUAUUGCACAAUGGGCGCAAGCCUGAUGCAGCAACGCCGCGUGAGGGAUGACGGCCUUCGGGUUGUAAACCUCUUUUAGCAGGGAAGAAGCGAAAGUGACGGUACCUGCAGAAAAAGCACCGGCUAACUACGUGCCAGCCGCCGCAGUAA
rnacentral:rRNA from 1 species